rnacentral:rRNA from 1 species
UACAGAGGGUGCAAGCGUUAAUCGGAAUCACUGGGCGUAAAGCGCGCGUAGGCGGCUUGACAAGUCGAGUGUGAAAUCCCCGGGCUUAACCUGGGAGCUGCAUUCGAAACUGUCUUGCUAGAGUAUGGGAGAGGGAGGUGGAAUUUCAGGUGUAGCGGUGAAAUGCGUAGAUAUCUGAAGGAACAUCAGUGGCGAAAGCGACCUCCUGGACCAAUACUGACGCUCAGGUGCGAAAGCGUGGGGAGCAAACAGG